UACGUAGGGUGCGAGCGUUAAUCGGAAUUACUGGGCGUAAAGCGUGCGCAGGCGGUUGGCCGUGUCCGAUGUGAAAGCCCCGGGCUUAACCUGGGAAUGGCAUUGGAAACUGGCUGGCUGGAGUGUGGCAGAGGGGGGGUGGAAUUCCACGUGUAGCAGUGAAAUGCGUAGAGAUGUGGAGGAACACCGAUGGCGAAGGCAGCCCCCCUGGGUCAAGAUUGACGCUCAUGCACGAAAGCGUGGGGAGCAAACAGG
rnacentral:rRNA from 1 species